AUCACUUCCAGCUCAAGACUGAGCGUGGGGGAAGAGCCUCGGCCACCGGAGGGGAGCAGGACGCGCUGGUCAGGGUGCACGGUGUGAAGAAAAAUCUCAAGUCAGAAGAAAGCUUUGCUGAGGCAACAUGAAGGCGUAAGACCCGAUGAAGGUAUACUGUACAGGUUUCUCCUCAGCCUGCUCAUUGAGGAAAGACCACUUGCUCACAGUGCCCAAGGUAAGCUCACUUUCUCUCCACCCCCAACUUAAUUGUUUUGCUCUCUGCCACCCACAGAUAUCUUGUCAUCCUCCAAGGCCUAGUUUACUUCCUGGCCCCAUACCCAUGCAGGAAACAUUCACUUGCAUUCCCCAGGGUCCUAACUUUGAUGAAUCUGGGGAGACAGAACAUAUUGGGAUCUCAACCAAAGGACCAAGAGAGGAGGAAUAAAUCAGGACCAUGGGCAGGGCCUGGAGAAAGGCACGUGGGCACAGGGGCUGCUGGCCUCUGCAGGUCUAGCCCAGGGUAUGAAAUGCUGAGCCUGCAGUAGCUCAAAAUAUGGCUGGUCCUGGUGCUGUCCAGGGUACCCAUUUUGGCAAUCAGAGCAUAGCAGCCUGAGUAGGCUAGGUGCUGGUGGUCCUGAGGGUUAGGGGCAGAGGUUGAAAGAUUGUGGUCCUGGGUGAUACUCUUUUCCCUCUUUUCCUCAAAUGUUCAUCUUUCUCCUCCAGAUCCCGGGUUUGAUCCCUAGACUCACAUGGCUUAAGGAUCCAGUGUUGCUAUGAGCUGCAGUGUAGGUUGCAGAUGAGGUUUGGAUCCCACAUUGCUGUGGCUGUGGCAUAGGACAGCAGCUGCAGCUCUGAUUCCACCCCUAGCCUUGGAACUUCCAUAUGCUGCAGGUGAAAUACACACACACACACACACACACACACACAUACACACCUACAUGGGCUGCAGCACAGAGACAUGUAACUGACUGCUGGGCUAAACCCAAACAUCCAUUGUGGGCCAGCCUAGGGCUAGUAUCCUAGGGCCAUCCUUGUCUGGGACAGGAUGUCAUACAGACAUCAUUUGUUCAUAAGGUAC
rnacentral:lncRNA from 1 species